GGAGCGGUGCAGGAGCGGCUUAACUGGCGGCACUGGAAAUGCCGUGUGCCCGAAAGGGCACCGUGGGUUCGAAUCCCACCCGCUCCGCCA
rnacentral:tRNA from 1 species